GACGAACGCUGGCGGCGUGCUUAACACAUGCAAGUCGAACGGAAAGGCCUGCUUUCCCUUGUGGAUUGCGGGUACUCGAGUGGCGAACGGGUGAGUAACACGUGAGUGAUCUGCCCCCAACUUGGGAAUAAGCCUGGGAAACUGGGUCUAAUUCCCGAUAGGACUGCAGGGUGGUGCCUGUGUUGGAAAACGAUUUUCUAGUGGUUGGGGAUGAGCUCGCGGCCUAUCAGCUUGUUGGUGGGGUAAUGGCCUACCAAGCCGGCGACGGGUAGCCGGCCUGGGAGGGUGGACGGUCACAUUGGGACAGAGACACGGCCCAGACUCCUACGGGAAGCAGCAGUGGGGAAUAUUGCACAAUGAGCGGAAGCCUGAUGCAGCGACGCCGCGUGGGAGAUGACGGCCUUCGGGUUGUAAACUCCUUUCGACCGAGAGGAAGCCACCUGGUUGGAAGGGUGGUGACGGUAGUGGUAGAAGAAGCACCGGCUAACUACGUG
rnacentral:rRNA from 1 species